GACAGAGGAUGCAAGCGUUAUCCGGAAUUAUUGGGCGUAAAGGGUCCUGAGGUGGCUAGCCAAGUCUAUUGUGAAAUAUCAGGGCUUAACCCUGAACAUGCGGUGGAAACUAGAAAGCUUGAGUACAGUAGGGGCGGAGGGAAUUUCCGGUGGAGCGGUGAAAUGCAUAGAUAUCGGGAAGAACACCAACGGCGAAAGCACUCCGCUGGGCUGAUACUGACACUGACAGACGAAAGCUAGGGUAGCGAAAGGG
rnacentral:rRNA from 1 species